rnacentral:rRNA from 1 species
AAACUAACAAGGAUUCCCCUAGUAACGGCGAGUGAAGCGGGAAGAGCUCAAAUUUGUAAUCUGGCACUUUCAGUGUCCGAGUUGUAAUCUCGAGAAGUAUUUUCCGCGCCGGACCGCAUACAAGUCUGUUGGAAUACAGCGUCAUAGUGGUGAGAGCCCCGUAACUGAUGCGGAUGCCCGGUGCUUUGUGAUAUACUUUCGAAGAGUCGAGUUGUUUGGGAAUGCAGCUCAAAUUGGGUGGUAAAUUCCAUCUAAAGCUAAAUAUUGGAGCAAGACCGAUAGCGAACAAGUACCGUGAGGGAAAGAUGAAAAGCACUUUGGAAAGAGAGUUAACAGUACGUGAAAUUGUUGGAAGGGAAACGCUUGAAGUCAGACUUGCUAUUCGGAGUUCAGCCGCAAGGUGUAUUCUUCGAUUUGCAGGCCAGCAUCAGUUUUCGGGGAUGGAAAAUCGCGGUUUGAAGGUAGCAGUUUCGGCUGUGUUAUAGCUUUCCGCUGGAUUCAUCCUUGGGGACUGAGGAACGCAGUACGCUUUUUGCAAGGCCCUCGGGCUUUUCGUACUUAGGAUGCUGGUGGAAUGGCUUUAAACGAC